GCCCUCAUAAAAGAGAUCCUGGAGAGAUCCCUCUCUCAUCCUCUUUCCACCGUACUAGGAUACAAGAAGUCAGCCAUCUGGAAGCAGGGAGAGAACCUUCAUGGAACCUGACCAUGCCUAUACCUUAGACUGACCUUAGACUUCCAGCCUCCAGAACUGAGUUGUUCAAGACAUUCAUUGGCCUAUCCAGCAGGGACUGAGUGAGACGGUACGUUGUAUAUUUAUCAAAAGAUGCUUCCAGUUUCACCUUGGCCUGGGCAACUGCAGACAGUCUCUUCCCCCAACACCUGAGUGGCCCCUCGUGGUUGGGUACAUGGAUCCCAAAGCUGAGUGUGAAGUCGGUGCUGGGAACUGAGUCACCAAGGGCAUGGAUGCUUUCACCAAGGCAGACAAGAUUUAAAAAACUAGUUUCACUGGCACUAAUGAGACCAAUAGCAAACCCAGCCUGGAACGUCUUAGGAGACUGGUCACGAUUUCCGUUUCUCUCUCUGCUUGGUGUUUUUGCACAAUCAUGAGGAGUUUGGAGAGCAGAAGGAGGCCUCAAAAAGGACAUCCUGAGCUUCUUGAUAAUGUGUCCAUUGAGGGCCUCGUCACUUAAUUAUAAAGAAAAAUUAUAUUAUUAA